UUUGAAGCUUUUAUAAGAAAUUGUUUUGUCUUGUUCUGAGUCUGAACCCUAAACUUCUCUAGCAUCGUAGUAGCUAAGUAUAGUCAGAUUCUCCCUAUGUUUUUUAAAUUCAUUUUUUUUAAAUGGUUUAUUUCUUGGUUGUUAAUUUUAUGUUAGAGUCCUAGAUGUGGGAAAUAAUGUUUCAGGCUUCAAGUUUUUGAUAUUUUUGUUUUCUAAGGUCUGUAGAGGGGACCUUUGACCUUUUGGUUCUAUAAUCCAAUUCCAGAUGUAGUCACUGCUCCUCCAGGCUUGGUAACCUUAAGUUCUCAUUUCUGCUCCUGAAUUACAACCAGGGCGCCCAGCACUGUUGCCACCACAAUCCUCAAGAGUGUGCAAGCAUAGCUCCAUAGUUCUUCUCUGAAAGCCAAACCAGGAAUUCUGCUGUCCUGCAAGUGACCACAACUAGCAGUGCUCCUCCCCUUUUUAACUGUUCACUGAUAACACAACCCAUCCAUGCUGUGGCAUCCUGUGCAACUUUUGUCUGUGCUUCUGGAAAUCUGGCACGAUGGGAUUCAUCCAGGACUCUGAAGGCUUUUUUUUUCUUGUUCUUUUAACAUUAUGUGGAUAUUAGCAAAGCAGAUUGAUUGUCCUUUUAUUAUCCCUUCUUAAUACACUGUUGACUAUCA